rnacentral:lncRNA from 1 species
AUAUGAAAUGAGAUACUAGUAUUCUUUAGUGGAUGUUUCGAUGAUAAGAGUCUAAAUAAAUGUAAUCUUAUUGAGCAUCCUGAUAAAGGGUGGACGUAUCCGGUGUAUAGGGAACUCUACUAUGGACAUUACCUCAAUCAAAAGGAGUUGAGAAGUCCCAUACCAGAAGAGUUUUGAGAGAUAUGGUUCACUCUCAUAUCGAACGAGAUAUCAAGACGAUGGUGUUUUUUGGCGCCCAUUACCAGAGGAGGUAUGAAACGACCAAGUUAAUUGUCAAAUCUUGAUACUAAGUCCACGAAUAGAGGGAUAUCCCUAUGGAUCCCCGAGGAUCCGAGUACGUAGGUUAAAAAUAAAGAAUUUUUGAUCGUAUACAUGAAAUUGAAAUGUCAUUUGGUUAAGUAUCUUCAU